AAGAAAGGGCCACCAGCUAUUCUAUACAGUUUACAACAAGGCAGCAAAAGACCCAUAUUUCACACACACACACACACACACACACACACACACACACACACACACACACACACACGGCAUAAGUCACCUGUGCUGCUCUCUAAACAUCCUUGUAAGGAAAUGUAGAUAUGUUAUAUUCUACUUGUACAAUCCAAUUUUUUUUAAAAAAAAUUUAACACAAGACACACAAGGGCAAAAGUAGCCUUUACAGCCAUCCCUUUGUUUUGUACUCCUUCACAUCUUUGCACCUGCAGAAUCAGCUGCCAUCAGCUCCACCUGCCUCUCCCGACUGUGUCAUUUCUUGCUUUCUCUUGAAUUUCAGAAUGGACUGCUCUUGAGACUGGCAGAGCUCUACAGUUCAAGAGGGCACUUUGACCCCUUCUGUCACCAUGGAGAACUAAUGAGGAUUUGCUGAAUUUCAACAACGGCUGCCAAAGUGUAAGGAACAGCAGCAGCGGCCACAAAAUCUGAUUGACAAUGGUUGUAGUUACAAACUCAAAGGUGCCAUGGCCCCUAAGGGUUCAAUGUGUGCCUCACCCUCAGUUCUAGGAUGUUGCCCAUCCCUGUUUCACAGAUAAUGCAGAACUUACUGGAAGCAAGCAAUCUCUCCAAACCAGGGGAACUGAGCAGAGAGCCACGUUUGCCAUCUACUUGGGUGCACAUCAGCAGCUUUAGUUAAAAUGAGCUGAAAGUU